GACGAACCGUGCGAACGUUGUUCGGAAUCACUGGGCUUAAAGGGCGCGUAGGCGGGUCGGAAAGUCCGCGGUGAAAUCCCCCCGCUCAACGGGGGAACGGCCGCGGAUACUGCCGGCCUCGAGGGGGGUAGGGGCGAGCGGAACGCUGGGUGGAGCGGUGAAAUGCGUUGAUAUCCAGCGGAACUCCGGUGGCGAAGGCGGCUCGCUGGACCUUCACUGACGCUGAGGAGCGAAAGCGUGGGGAGCGAACAGG
rnacentral:rRNA from 1 species